AGGAUGAACGCUAGCUACAGGCUUAACACAUGCAAGUCGAGGGGCAGCAUGGUCUUAGCUUGCUAAGGCCGAUGGCGACCGGCGCACGGGUGAGUAACACGUAUCCAACCUGCCGUCUACUCUUGGACAGCCUUCUGAAAGGAAGAUUAAUACAAGAUGGCAUCAUGAGUCCGCAUGUUCACAUGAUUAAAGGUAUUCCGGUAGACGAUGGGGAUGCGUUCCAUUAGAUAGUAGGCGGGGUAACGGCCCACCUAGUCUUCGAUGGAUAGGGGUUCUGAGAGGAAGGUCCCCCACAUUGGAACUGAGACACGGUCCAAACUCCUACGGGAGGCAGCAGUGAGGAAUAUUGGUCAAUGGGCGAGAGCCUGAACCAGCCAAGUAGCGUGAAGGAUGACUGCCCUAUGGGUUGUAAACUUCUUUUAUAAAGGAAUAAAGUCGGGUAUGGAUACCCGUUUGCAUGUACUUUAUGAAUAAGGAUCGGCUAACUCCGUGCCAGCAGCCGCGGUAAUACGGAGGAUCCGAGCGUUAUCCGGAUUUAUUGGGUUUAAAGGGAGCGUAGAUGGAUGUUUAAGUCAGUUGUGAAAGUUUGCGGCUCAACCGUAAAAUUGCAGUUGAUACUGGAUAUCUUGAGUGCAGUUGAGGCAGGCGGAAUUCGUGGUGUAGCGGUGAAAUGCUUAGAUAUCACGAAGAACUCCGAUUGCGAAGGCAGCCUGCUAAGCUGCAACUGACAUUGAGGCUCGAAAGUGUGGGUAUCAAACAGGAUUAGAUACCCUGGUAGUCCACACGGUAAACGAUGAAUACUCGCUGCUUGCGAUAUACUGCAAGCGGCCAAGCGAAAGCGUUAAGUAUUCCACCUGGGGAGUACGCCGGCAACGGUGAAACUCAAAGGAAUUGACGGGGGCCCGCACAAGCGGAGGAACAUGUGGUUUAAUUCGAUGAUACGCGAGGAACCUUACCCGGGCUUAAAUUGCAGAUGAAUUACGGUGAAAGCCGUAAGCCGCAAGGCAUCUGUGAAGGUGCUGCAUGGUUGUCGUCAGCUCGUGCCGUGAGGUGUCGGCUUAAGUGCCAUAACGAGCGCAACCCUUGUUGUCAGUUACUAACAGGUUCCGCUGAGGACUCUGACAAGACUGCCAUCGUAAGAUGUGAGGAAGGUGGGGAUGACGUCAAAUCAGCACGGCCCUUACGUCCGGGGCUACACACGUGUUACAAUGGGGGGUACAGAGGGCCGCUACCACGCGAGUGGAUGCCAAUCCCCAAAACCUCUCUCAGUUCGGACUGGAGUCUGCAACCCGACUCCACGAAGCUGGAUUCGCUAGUAAUCGCGCAUCAGCCACGGCGCGGUGAAUACGUUCCCGGGCCUUGUACACACCGCCCGUCAAGCCAUGGGAGCCGGGGGUACAAGAAGUGCGUAACCGCGAGGAGCGCCCUAGGGUA
rnacentral:rRNA from 1 species